rnacentral:rRNA from 1 species
UGGGGAAUAUUGGACAAUGGGCGAAAGCCUGAUCCAGCCAUGCCGCGUGUGUGAAGAAGGUCUUCGGAUUGUAAAGCACUUUAAGUUGGGAGGAAGGGCAUUAACCUAAUACGUUAGUGUUUUGACGUUACCGACAGAAUAAGCACCGGCUAACUCUGUGCCAGCAGCCGCGGUAAUACAGAGGGUGCAAGCGUUAAUCGGAAUUACUGGGCGUAAAGCGCGCGUAGGUGGUUUGUUAAGUUGGAUGUGAAAUCCCCGGGCUCAACCUGGGAACUGCAUUCAAAACUGACUGACUAGAGUAUGGUAGAGGGUGGUGGAAUUUCCUGUGUAGCGGUGAAAUGCGUAGAUAUAGGAAGGAACACCAUUGGCGAAGG